AUUGAACGCUGGCGGCAUGCCUUACACAUGCAAGUCGAACGGUAACAGGUCUUCGGAUGCUGACGAGUGGCGAACGGGUGAGUAAUACAUUGGUACCUACCCCAAAGUGGGGGAUAGCUCAUCGAAAGGUGGGGUAAUCCCGCAUGUGACCUACGGGUUAAAGCUUUUGCGCUUUGGGAAGGGCCUUUGUCCUAUCAGUUUGUUGGUGAGGUAAUGGCUCACCAAGACUAUGACGGGUAGCGGGAUCGAGAGGUCGACCAGCCAGACUGGGACUGGGACACGGCCCAGGAUCCUACGGGAGGCAGCAGUGGGGAAUUUUGGACAAUGGGCGAAAGCCUGAUCCAGCAAUGCCGCGUGCAGGAUGAAGGCCUUCGGGUUGUAAACUGCUUUUGUACGGAACGAAAAGCCCCGGGUUAAUACCCUGGGGUCAUGACGGUACCGUAAGAAUAAGCACCGGCUAACUACGUGCCAGCCGCCGCCGUAA
rnacentral:rRNA from 1 species